rnacentral:pre_miRNA from 1 species
UCUUCAUUUCACGUGUUCUCUCACCGGUCAGAGAGUCAAGAGAGCACGCAAAAUGAAGAGA